rnacentral:rRNA from 1 species
UACGGAGGGUGCAAGCGUUAAUCGGAAUUACUGGGCGUAAAGCGUGCGUAGGCGGUUUGUUAAGUCCGCUGUGAAAUCCCCGAGCUCAACUUGGGAAUUGCAGUGGAUACUGGCAGGCUGGAGUAUGGUAGAGGAAGGUGGAAUUCCCGGUGUAGCAGUGAAAUGCGUAGAGAUCGGGAGGAACACCAGUGGCGAAGGCGGCCUUCUGGACCAAUACUGACGCUCAUGCACGAAAGCGUGGGGAGCAAACAGG